GUCAUUGGUAACACGACAUAAUGAAAUAAUUAUAUUAUCGGGUAAUUAUCAUUUGAUAAUUGGUUGUAAUUUACACUAAUUUGACAGAGGAGUUAAAUUAGUCUAACUUUAUUAUUGUCAAACUUAGUAUGUAACAGUUUAAGUCAUAGACACAUCAUAUUAAUGCAUAUAUUAAUUAUUAUACAUGCAUAGUAAUAAUUAAAAUUUGCUAAAUAUUUGCAAAUUUUCCAUGUAGGAACAUUCAUGUAUGUAUUGUCGGAAUUGACAAAGUAAUUUAUGGAUGUUGUAUAUUACAACUUCAAUUAUAUGGCAUAAACAAAUUAAUCAUAUAAAGGGUCAUGUAUACAGGUUUCAUUCACGCGGCACAGUCAAACAUUAAAAUAUCGCAUUCAGAUAUAGAGCUCUAUUAUUACAUUCAUAAUUAAGUACAUGUAUUUUAUAUUUACAGUGAAUAGAGAGCUUGGUGUAUUGGUUAGUUGGUCACCUGGAGAAGCGGUUAUUACCAACUGCUCAUCUAAACAGAAGUAUACUUCAUUACAUCCUCAGCCUAAAAUACACUCCUUACAGUGGGACACUGCACAAUCAUGGCUGGUUUGUCAUAUUACGGGAAAAAGGACCACUCUGAUGUGCAAGCAGAGGAACGAUGGUGUCCACCUGAAGUCAAUAUUUUUGAACAACAGGGAGCGGGUUAAAGUGUCCACCAGAUGAACAGACAGUUGAGUAAACAGCUGUUCAAAUGGGAGCAGGAAGGGGGUCCACCUGAAACUCAUCAAUGUAAAGGGUUGAUUUGUAACAAGGAGCGGUGUAUUUGGAAUUCCAUGUCUUCAUUUUUGUUGAUAGUCAUCAGCUGGAUUGGUAAGAAUAGGUUGGCCAGACAAGAAUGCAGUCAGCAAUGGGCAUUCAAAUAAGGCUAUAAUCAUGCAUCCAACCAACAAGUAAACUUGUUUGAUUGAAUGGUCAGCACCUUGGAAGAUCAAAAAUCUGGAUCAGCAAAUGAAAUGAACUUUGAUACAUAAAUAAUAAAAUGUUCUGUCUCUUGGUCUCCUGGUUAUUUCCCUGUAAUGGUAAAGCAGACAACUGAUUAAUGGUUGAUGAUGGAUCAAUCUGGAAAAUUAUAUAAAUCUCAUAAAAUCAUUGGAAUCCCACUUCUGACACCAGUUGAAACGUACCCGGGGUCUGCUAGCCCGGACACACUUCAAUAUCGACACGUGGGUUCUUCUCAAACACACGUAAAUGGAUAAAGGAAAUUAGGGACACAAGGACUAAAAGAUACGGACGCCUGAAAUAAGAUUAACACAACAAUUUAUUAAAUAUACAUUUCACAAACAAUAAAAUUCGUAUAUAGUAUAUUCUGUGGAUGGCUCUGGCUUGGGCUCCUCGUCUUAGGUCAAGAAUAUUCUUCUGUUACGUCUAGAAUAAUGUAUAAUAUAAGAUGUAAUGUAAGGCUUGACAAAUACGGUGUCACGUCUUGCCUGUGGUCUGGUACAAAUUCUAUGGUAGGAAUUACCAUGAAAUGCUAUAAGGUUAAUGGGGUAUCUAAAAUGGUAACUACAAUAUACAGUGGUGUUCUACCCUGGUAUAUGGGUAUCACUAUAAAAUAUGGGAUUAUGGCUAUGGAAACUUGGUCUUUAGUCAGGAUCUAUCAUAAAUGGAGAAUAAUGCCAAACUGCCAAACUAGAUGAUAAAAUAUAAAGCUUCUAUAUAAACUAUUACUGGCAUGAAGUAUUAUAUACCUUUCUGGUGUCUGGAGAUACAUCCAUAUUCAAUAUAGUAUAGAUGUGGUCUGGUGGCUAUCUACCAAGGUACUGACAAUUUUGGCAGAUUCGGGCUGCUAUUUAUAGUCUCGGACGCUGGGUGGCUAGCUUGGCUAGGGUGCCUAGCUUGGCAGUAUCGUCAUCGUCUCCGAUGACGUCACUGCCUGGCUCGCGCGGGCAGAAAUUUAGCCAGUGCCAGUUGCCAUGUUUAAAUUGGCAGCGUGUAGCUAAUUGAUCAUUAAAACGGCUACAACGUAGAAAAUAAGUUAUUUUAAGUAAUAUAACCAUCGUAAAUAUUAAAAGGAUGAAGUUAUCUGUACAUGCAGUGUAUGUUUUGAGGAUUAAAAGUUGAUGUCAUGAAAUACAGUUAAUUACUUUAGUACUUGAGUAGUUUCCGGAUACGGGUUUAUUUUCGGACGUAAAAUG